rnacentral:siRNA from 1 species
AACAUUUAUUUGGAACCGCUUGAU